GAAAAAACAUAAAACCAGGACAAACUGGUGAUGUGAAGCUUCCUUUUUUCAAUAAUUUCUAUUUAAAACAUUAGUCAAUUUUGAGAAAAUCUUAAGCAAUUAUUGGCACAGAUGAUUCAUGGAUGUGGCCAAAAUUGUGAAGGUGGUCCCCAAAGGUCUGAAGGCUGGAAGCCCUGCUGAAAGGUGGUUGGAAAGAAGAGUGACUUGGGUAUGGGUUCUGUAGGCCUGGCUUUGUCACUAAAGGACCAUGUGACCUUGGACUAGCCACUGAGCUCUCUGAGCUUCUGUCGUAUCCUAUGUAGAAUGACAGCAUUAGUUGCAGUAAUUUCUGGAGCCUGUCCAGCUGGAAUCUUCCAAGAUAGAAGCUGGGUGUUAUGUCCAAGAAGAGUGUGAAGGGCUGGGUUUCUUUGGCCCCUUCUCCUGCAGUCAGCUUUAAUUUGCCCGAAAUAAAGCUGACAGGAGGCUGCUGCAUUCCGGGCACAUUCCUCUGUGUCAGCCGCUCUAGAUCUCUUUUCUCAGGAGCUUCUAAGGAGGGCCCAUUCGGCAGCCUGGAUUUGAAGGUCUCCUUCCCUCUUCUUGGCUGUGUGCCCUGGUCCCUGCAGCCUGCUUAGAAGGGGAAAACAUGACAGACAAAGAGGGAAGGAAGAGAUUUCUGCAGAGCCGUCCUCCCAUAAUGAAAGAGCAAAAGAAAAGACUUGUAAAGAUUCCAGCAGGGAGGGGAUUUAGG
rnacentral:lncRNA from 10 species